rnacentral:rRNA from 1 species
UUUUUAAAAUUUUAUUUUUUUGUAAAAAAGCUUAAAUUAAUUUUUAGGGACGAUAAGACCCUAUAGAAUUUUUUUAAUAAUUAAUUUUAAGUUUUUUAGGGUUUUAUUUACUUUUAAUUAUAGUUUAAUUUAAUUGGGGUGAUUAAUAAAUUUAACUUUAUUUUUUUUAUUCAUUAGUUUAUGAUUUAUUUGACUCAAAUUUUAGAUUGAAAGUUUAAAUUACCUUAGGGAUAACAGCGUAAUUUUAAUGGGGAGUUCAUAUUUAUAUUAAAGUUUGCGACCUCGAUGUUGAAUUAAAAUUAUUAAUUGGGGUAG